rnacentral:lncRNA from 1 species
AUGACCCUGUGGAGAGUUCAAGCAGCACCACGGACCAGAUCAGAUCUGCUUGUCUCUGCUGCUCUGACCUGGAGGAACAGUACAGACAUGCAUCAUGUCAUUCGCACCUCGCUAUCUUUAUUUAAAAGUUCCUUUUCUGGACGUCUCGCCGUUGACCUUCUUUGUGUUAAAUCACUGUCACCUUUACGCCGCCGACUCACCACGGCAGACAGCCAGCCAGCGCUGGAGGCCAGUGUUUGGUCUCCUCUCACACUUCCUGACUGGCUGUUUUCCAGGACGCUGUUAUUGUUUCAGCUUUUUCAGACAAGCGCCAUUAGUGUGGCGUCUCCUCCCGCCACCACCGCCAUCGUGAGUGCACGGGGUCAGCUGAUCCUGUUAGAAAGAGCAAGGUCAGUCUCACACACACACACACACACACACACACACACACACAGACACCUCCUGCAGUGAUGGUGUGAAGGAUUACUCACGGAGACAAGGAGGGAAUCAGAAAGUCGGAGGUGGCAGACGACAUGCCGGAGGAAGUCGAACACAUACGCGUAAUGGAAAGCUGCGUCUUGUUUCCUGUUUACAGCCUCGCAAAUGCUAUUUUGACUCUCUCUCUAUUAUGAGUGAACCCUUCAAAUUUAACAAUAGAGAGCAUCUCGGGAAAAAAAGAGUUGCAGCUAAGACUGUCCACGCUUAGAGCCACAAUCAUGUCUGCUUCGUGUCCUCGCUGUAAGUUUCAAAUCAAAUCAGAAAAUACAGCUCCCAAAACAACCAUACAGCACGUGUCCACACGGACACACAUGGAUGGGAGGCGUGAUAGGCGAACAGGCGGCGUGCCGAAAAGGCGUUGUGGCCUGAAGACUUUUGCACUGACUCACACCUCUCACCCUCCCACGUGACCUCUGACCUGCAUCCAAACGUAUUAUGUGUAAUCUUAGCUUAAUGAAGCAUAACGAUGCCCUGAAUCAUAACAGUCAUUUUUGGUGAUAUGAUUUGAAGACACGUGACUCAGUUUAGAUUUUUUUGCAAUAGAUGAGAAAUGACCCUCACUGACCUGGAACACCGAAACAAUCAGAGCCGAUGUCAAUGAGCGCCAUCCAGGUGAAAUAAAUACAUCCCACAUCUCUGAUGGAGCUGAUCAACUUUCCCAUCAUGUGGAACCCUUGAAGCCGUAUUUUACCUGCUGCUUAAUUGUCAGUGUGCGUGACCGCUGAAAUGUUCGAUCCUGUUUACUGGAACUCCGCCCACAUCAUAUCUAUCAAACUCCAGCAGUCACAAAAUCAACUCCCUCUUGUUUUUC